AGUUUGUGUGACCCACCUCUACACUAUUCCACACUAUUAGGCUAGUAAAGGAUCAUUGCGUUGCCAUAGUUGACUCACUUCACUGUAUGAAAGUUCUCAUCUUCAUUUUCUAGCCUCAAUCUGCAAUUUAUUGCAUUGAUUGAUGUUUUAUUACAAUGUAAUUAAAGCUAUUCAGAUCUAUUUUGGGGUUCUAUUGAUUGGCACGUUUCCAGAGGGGAGAGAGGGGUGGGGGGUUGAUAAUGACGUAAUGAAUGGUAAUAGGAUUAAUCCGAAUUCAUAUACCCACUGAUGUGUAAGAGACCUAUUGACGAAACACUGCCAACCACAAAAUAGACGCACUUGUUGACAGCAACACUCAGUGCAGAGCGUAAACGGUAAUUGGCGAUUUUCGGGUUUCCCUCUGAAACAUUGGCCAUCACCCAUCAUUACCAUUACGCACAGAGACAGUGUCACUCCGCGCAACAUUUGCGGACCAAGGACUGUACUUGUUGCGAACCAUACCGCGGCGUCAGAGUCCUAAAGCUGUCAAAUGCUGCGCAUGCACAACCUAUUGGUGUCUUCAGUCAAUGGAACCUGCCUAAUCCACCACACGAAAAAAAGUAAAUUGGAAGAUUAUUAUACUUCCAAUUUACUCAACUAGUUGUGCGUCGAGACCCGGAAACAUUGUUUUAUUAUUUUGUCACAUGGCUGAGAGAUUUCAAUAACAACAAAAAAUGGCGACAAUCACGUUGUUCGAUGUGGGUCUUGCUGCGUCAUUAAAACUAUUCAUGUAAACACGGGAAUGAAACGCGCAAAAUGCAAAAAACAGCAACAAGCUUUCCCAACAACAUGGAGUUGAAUAGCUGGAACAAUUGAAAUGUGAUGAUUGCUUUCUAUAUUUUUCUUUAGUGUUUUAAACGUUUAUUUAAUAUAUCGGCUACCUGGUCUGCGCUUCACGAUUAUUGAAGGGUCCGAUAGGCUAUUAUUUAUAAUAAGUACAGUCUAUUGGGAGUUUUAUAUGCUAUUUAAUUUUUACAAUUACGCAACCAAUGUUAUGUUUUGAUCGAUUUAACAGUUGUCUCAACGUUGUGCAGCAGGUUAUUUUUCAAAUAAGUGUUGGCAAGUGCUCCUGCAAUUCUGUGAUAUCAAACAGAACCAGCAAAUCGACUUGUUUACAUGAAGCGGAGGGAGAAGGAAAUCGGGAGGAGUCUCCGCCGGCGGGCUACGCUACUGGACUGCUGGAGAGGCUUCGCGCGCUGAGGGCGGAGCCCCAAUAAUCAUAACAAGUCUGACGUCAGCUCUGUGGUGGGCAUAAAUUAUGCAGUUUAAACACUGUACUGAGUAAACAGUGGUGGCUUCGACCAACUAACAAGGUUUUAUUCUGGUAGGCUAUGUAUCUGUUGUGUAGCAAUUCUCUUUCUAAGAGGUUUAGAAAAAGCUGAUAUGCUACAGUAGUUAGACAUGUAUUGGUAGGUAUUACAAUCAUAUGAGGUGAGAAAGACUCAUCUUACUAAGGUGGUAAAAUACCUUUCUAGAAUUCUGUAAUGCCUGUGUGGAAUUCAUAGCACAUACAUAAUUAAUCAUUAUCUCCUGUGAAUAAUUACAAAGCUUUGCCGGUUUUGGUAAAUGCAUUUCGCUGUGUAAGUUAUUAGAGAAGCCUAUUUACAUUACUUCUGCAUGCAAAUGUAUUCUCAUUCUUGUAACUUGAUACCAUGAAAAACACAGGUACAGAAAUGUGGAUUUUGCAUAUUAUCAACCAUCAUAGUCAUUUUGUUACUUUCUGCAAUAUCCAAAGGCACCCCCACCUGCCUGACUCUAUACAGUGUCAUGUCAUUCUAAGUCCCUCCUUUGGCACGAUUCCAUCUGCAAUAGAACAGUGUGACUGACAAGAUAUUAUUGUCGCUCUGGGCUCCCAGUCCUGUGUGUGUGUGUGUGGGCCUGGCAUCAUGAAGACUGAUGGCAUCUGACACUUUGGACCACCACAGCUGAUGCUGUACUGUGCUGGGACUUAAACUGACGGGGCUGCUGUCUCUGGGCUGCUGUCUACUGUCUGCUUAACUUGACAUCCAGGCUGCCCUUGUUCAGUUAUCACUGUGCUGAUGCUGUCCAUCUUAAAGGUACAGUACUGUGAUAACUGAAGGAUGGCUGUCACCUUGACACACCUGACCCAUUAUGUGAUGAUGGAUGGAUGGAUGGCGGGAGAUGGUACUGCUGUAUCAGAGGUGAGGUGUAGUAUGGGCACUGGGCAGGGCUCUAAAUUAUAAUUUUUUAUUGGAAGCAAUGGUGCUCCCAACUUUAAAAAGUUAGGAGCACAACAUACAAUUUAGGAGCACCAGAAAAUACGAUUUUUAAAAAUUGAUUGAGAUAUAGCCUAUAUGAUUUCUAGCUACUUCUGAAGCACAUGCUGUGCCCUAGAAACUAAUAUGUAACCCUGUAAAGACAAUUGUUUAUUAUAAAAAGCUGCAAAUGGUUAUACAAAUACCUGUUUUUGAAAUUGCAAAGUUAUUUGUGGAAUAUUAGGUUUCUACAUUGUGUAAAAGCACUAUUUUCAAACCACCGUACUGCUGUGCAAUAUUACAUGCACCCCUGCCAAUAAAGACUGGUGGGUCAAUUUGUUUUGUAAAUUCUCAAAUUGAAAUAAAAAAUAAAGUUGGUUCUGGGAGUAUUCUAAGGGUGAUUAUUAGGUUGCAUAAACAUGAUUAGUGCUUUCCCCCCACAAUUCUGGCCUUCAAACUGGCAUAAAUAAGGAGGACAGGUUAGCGGCACCCUAGCGGUUAAGGGCGUUGGGCCAGUAACCGAAAGGUCGCUGGUUCAAAUCCCCGAGCUGACUAGGUGAAAAAUCUAUCGACGUGUCCUUGCGCAAGGCACUUAACCCUAGUUGCUCUGGAUAAGAGUGUCUAGUAAAUGACGUAAACUGUAAAUGAUAGGUUAUUGCUGUUGGUCAAAGUCUGGAAAUAUGACUCUGACUGGGGAGAGAAAGAGGCUUGCUUGAAACCUACUGCCUGUAAUAGAAACAGCCCUUCUCUAAUUAUGUAGACUACUAGAUAUUUAAGGUUCAUAAUUUAAACAUUCUCCAUUUGAAAAAAAUUAAGUGUUCUAUAUCCUUCUUACUCGUGCUGAUAUUUCAGUGUUCUAUUUUAUUUGUUCCAAGUUAGGUAACAGAUUUGAGGGUUUUUUAAGAUGAGAGAGGAGAUAUUGUGUUUCUCCGUUCUCCCUACUGCAAGCCUUGCUCAACUUGUUUUACCUUCACAAACCACGGCCUCUAAACACCCGGCCAAACCAAAAGCAUAAUUGGCAGCGGGGGUUUUCCAAUCAUAAAAUGAGGAUUCAUGACCCACCUGUCCCCCGGGCAAGUUACGCGCCUGACCAUGACGCUACCGAAUAUGCGCUCGUUUUUUUCUCUGGCACUCGGAAACAGCAUUACAGCAAAGGAUGACAUUGCGUGAUUCACAGCCAGUUGUGCUUGUUAAAAUCUACCGUUCCUGUGUGGCUGGGUGUGGGAUAUGCAAUCAUUGUUGGGACGCUCGGUCCUUUCCCAAACUCCGGUCAGUGGGGCUGGAAGACUGAAAUUGUUCCAUUGAAACAGCACUGGAACAGCUCCCUUCUUCAGACGUCUGCGACCAGCUGGAGUCGGAGGCUCUAUCACAUCUUCACUUACAAAGUGUCGGCUGCAGACUCGUGUGUUUGUUGUAAGAAAGUUGACUCGUCGAAUGUUAAUCACCCACCGUUUAUGUAAUUCACUGUCUUUGGGAAAAGUAAAAAAACUAACAGAAGAAUUGCAUCUGGCAGACACUGUACAUUGCGGCACACAGCAGUGAUGGCUGGAAGAGCUGUCAUCCCGUUUUUGAAAGGACACUUUCGUACGUUUACACGUCAUCGUGUUAUACGUCAAGACGAAGUAUUACAAGUAAAAACAUUAACAUAAACAACAACAACGACGAAAAUUAACCGUUUCGGAUGUUUUUGACGACAAGCAUUCAAUGCUAGCAUACGGUAGCACAGCAUUCUACGAUAACCGGAAGUUUACAUCCAUCCUGAGAUUUAACUGGAAAUACGUCAUGCUCGCCUGUGCAUAUCGCCUAUUCCAGGUUGCACAGCAAAAUAUUUAGGAUCAUAUGUAACCAAAAUGGUCUCACAUUACAAUGUAGUGUCUGAUAUACAUUUGUAAUACUUCAUAAUGAUUCACAUUGCCCAAUGAGUGUAGCCUAUCAUUUCCCCAUUUUAUUUGACUAGAAUUGCUAUUUCAUGUAGAAAGAAUGAUGCAUUACGUCAUAAAUUGAAAGGGAACAAAUGUAUGUUUUGUAGCAUUUGAAUCAUUCAUGUAUAUAAGAAAAUGCAAAUAAAUCGGAAAGAA